rnacentral:rRNA from 1 species
UACGUAGGGUGCAAGCGUUUAAUCGGAAUUACUGGGCGUAAAGCGUGCGCAGGCGGUGAUGUAAGACAGUUGUGAAAUCCCCGGGCUCAACCUGGGAACUGCAUCUGUGACUACAUCGCUGGAGUGCGGCAGAGGGGGAUGGAAUUCCGCGUGUAGCAGUGAAAUGCGUAGAUAUGCGGAGGAACACCGAUGGCGAAGGCAAUCCCCUGGGCCUGCACUGACGCUCAUGCACGAAAGCGUGGGGAGCAAACAGG